AUUCAAGGAACAAAGAUUAAGAACGCCACAUCCUGUGGCAACCUCUUUGUGACCUACAUCCUGCAGG
rnacentral:sRNA from 1 species